GGCCCAAUAGUCAAGCGGUUAAGACAUAAUGUUUUCACCAUUACUUCAAGGGUUCAAAUCCCUUUUGGGCUA
rnacentral:tRNA from 1 species